rnacentral:rRNA from 1 species
AUUACAAUACAGGACUCUGUCCAGGCCCUGUAAUUGGAAUGAGUCCACUUUAAAUCCUUUAACGAGGAUCUAUUGGAGGGCAAGUCUGGUUCAGAGCGACUGAACCGUGCAUGCUGCAGCUGAAACUCCAC